rnacentral:rRNA from 1 species
AUUGAACGCUGGCGGCAUGCCUUACACAUGCAAGUCGAACGGUAACAGGUCUUCGGAUGCUGACGAGUGGCGAACGGGUGAGUAAUACAUCGGAACGUGCCCGAUCGUGGGGGAUAACGGAGCGAAAGCUUUGCUAAUACCGCAUACGAUCUACGGAUGAAAGCAGGGGACCGCAAGGCCUUGCGCGGACGGAGCGGCCGAUGGCAGAUUAGGUAGUUGGUGGGAUAAAAGCUUACCAAGCCGACGAUCUGUAGCUGGUCUGAGAGGACAACCAGCCACACUGGGACUGAGACACGGCCCAGACUCCUACGGGAGGCAGCAGUGGGGAAUUUUGGACAAUGGGCGAAAGCCUGAUCCAGCCAUGCCGCGUGCAGGAUGAAGGCCUUCGGGUUGUAAACUGCUUUUGUACGGAACGAAAAGACUCUUUCUAAUAAAGAGGGUCCAUGACGGUACCGUAAGAAUAAGCACCGGCUAACUACGUG